AACGAACGCUGGCGGCAUGCCUAACACAUGCAAGUCGAACGAGACCUUCGGGUCUAGUUGCGCACGGGUUCUUAACGCGUUGUAACCUUCCCUUAGGUUCGGAAUAACUCCCCGAAAGGUGUGCUAAUACCGGAUAAUGUCUUCGGACCAAAGAUUUAUCGCCUUUGUAUGGGCCCGCUUUGGAUUAGCUAGUUGGUAGGGUAAAAGCCUACCAAGGCGACGAUCCAUAGCUGGUCUGAGAGGAUGAUCAGCCACACUGGGACUGAGACACGGCACAGACUAGUACGGGAGGAAGCAGUGGGGAAUAUUGGAAAAUGGGGGAAAGCAUGAUAAAGAAAUGCCGGGUGAGUGAUGAAGGCCUUAGGGUAGUAAAGCUAUUGUACAAGGGAUGAUAAUGACAGUAACGGGAGAAUAAGCUCCGGCUAACUACGUG
rnacentral:rRNA from 1 species